UUCAGUUUUCUUAUUAAUAACGUGUUUCUAACAUAUUAAUUUGUCGUUUCUAGCAAAUCAAGAAAAAGUAUAAAAAAAUUUUGCAGUAACCUAUUUCGGAGACGUAAAUUAUUCAGAUUGCUCUAGGGUGAAUCAUUGUUUUACUUAACAAAGCAUACAGGCGUCUUCUGUAUGAAAACCAAUUUUUAAAUUUUCGACAUGUUGUCGUAGUGGCUUGAUAUAACGUGGAUUUAUAUGUGCAUUGCUGUCUCCCAGUGAGAGGUUACAACAGUUAGUGAAAGUUAACCCACUCGUCAACUGAAAUAUGGCAUCCUUACUAAAUCUUCAAAUCCGAGUGUCCGCAAGAAGAACCUGAAGUUCCCCUUGGUACCUCUCCAAAUGAAAUUUCCCAUCAAAACGACAGAAGCUCAGCCGUGGUGUCAGGGUCAUAGAUCGGAACAAGACCGAAAAUUUAUGCUGCUAACAUUGUCCGUAUUAACUUGAAGUAAAACUAAUCAGGAUUC